rnacentral:rRNA from 1 species
ACGGAGGGUGCAAGCGUUACUCGGAAUCACUGGGCGUAAAGGACGCGUAGGCGGGUUGUCAAGUCAGGUGUGAAAUCCUACAGCUUAACUGUAGAACUGCACUUGAAACUGGCAACCUAGAGUAUGGGAGGGGGAGAUGGAAUUAGUGGUGUAGGGGUAAAAUCCGUAGAUAUCACUAGGAAUACCGAAAGCGAAGGCGAUCUCCUGGAACAUAACUGACGCUAAGGCGUGAAAGCGUGGGGAGCAAACAGG